rnacentral:ncRNA from 2 species
AGUUGUGUGUGCAUGUUCAUGUCU